rnacentral:rRNA from 1 species
CCACACGGGGAUUGAGACACGGCCCCGACUCUUACGGGAGGCAGCAGUGGGGAAUUUUCCGCAAUGGGCGAAAGCCUGACGGAGUGACGCCGCGUGUGGGAUGAAGGCCUUCGGGUCGUAAACCACUGUCAGUGGGAAAGAUGGGUGUCGGCGCGAUAACCGCCGGCAUCUGACGGUACCUGCAGAGGAAGCCCCGGCUAACUCUGUGCCAGCAGCCGCGGUAAGACAGAGGGGGCAAGCGUUGCUCGGAAUUACUGGGCGUAAAGGGCGCGUAGGCGGGAUGGCAAGUCGGUCGUGAAAUCCCUCGGCUCAACUGGGGAGCGUCGAUCGAAACUGCCGUUCUUGAGGGUUGCAGAGGAGACUGGAAUUCCCGGUGUAGCGGUGAAAUGUGUAGAGAUCGGGAGGAACACCGGUGGCGAAGGCGGGUCUCUGGGCAACUCCUGACGCUGAGGCGCGAAAGCGUGGGGAGCAAACGGGAUUAGAUACCCCGGUAGUCCACGCUGUAAACGAUGACGACUAGGUGUGGGGGGGUUCAGUCCCUUCCGUGCCGCAGCUAACGCAUUAAGUCGUCCGCCUGGGGAGUACGGCCGCAAGGUUGAAACUCAAAGGAAUUGACG